UACGGGGGGGGCAAGCGUUAAUCGGAAUUACUGGGCGUAAAGCGUGCGUAGACGGUUAUGUAAGUCGGGUGUGAAAGCCCCGGGCUCAACCUGGGAAUGCCAUUCGAGACUGCAUAGCUAGGGUGCGGAAGAGGGAAGCGGAAUUUCCGGUGUAGCGGUGGAAUGCGUAGAGAUCCGGAAGAACACCGGUGGCGAAGGCGGUCUGCUGGGCAGUUGCUGACACUGAGGCGCGACAGCGUGGGGAGCAAACAGG
rnacentral:rRNA from 1 species